AGAACACCGGUGGCGAAGGCGGCUCUCUGGUCUGUUACUGACGCUGAGGCUCGAAAGCAUGGGUAGCGAACAGGAUUAGAUACCCUGGUAGUCCAUGCCGUAAACGAUGAGUGCUAAGUGUUGGGAGGUUUCCGCCUCUCAGUGCUGCAGCUAACGCAUUAAGCACUCCGCCUGGGGAGUACGACCGCAAGGUUGAAACUCAAAGGAAUUGACGGGGGCCCGCACAAGCGGUG
rnacentral:rRNA from 1 species